ACCAAUUGAUGCUAUCGAGCUCAGAGUGAAGGACCGAGCAGCUAAUUACCGUCUGCGGCGGUCAAACACUGGAAGACAACAACACCUGUAGGAGCACCGCGGAACACCCGCCCUCUAGUGCCCGCUAAAUAAGCUGCUUUAACGGCAACGCGCUCUCAAAAACACGGGGGCUAGUUGUCACUUUGCACUCCGGUAGAUAUUUCCCAAGGUGCGUGCCGUGCGCUGGAAACACACUCAUGAGCUAAUUCGAGGCAAAGUAAAGCUCUCAUCUGGGAUUGGUAAGAGUCUCUCCAAGCACCCCAAAGACUUCCAGCUCAUUCUUGAUUGCACAUGGCAGCCUCUGACCUGCACCGAAGGCACCCGCUGCCAUGGAAGAUUGAUGAUUAUCGAUGCAGAAACCCUUUGCUAAUUCAGCGUACAAGGAACUGCGUUUUUAGAAGAAAAAACCCCCAGCCAUGUUGAAGUGGGGAGUUGAUUUAUACACAAACGUUCUUUUAAGUCAAUGAUCAAUCAGAGUCUCUAGCUGCAACUGGACAUUAUCAAGCGCUGGGUCCCCAGUAUCAGAGAACUUACAGAGAAUGAUGGGACUGAUCAGACGUAGUGUUGGGAGGCCUUGACCUUUGUCUCCUUUUAUAAAUCAUGGAGGAAGUUGCGCUUGAUCCCAGUGUUUUCCAGCACCUGCAAAAUGUCAACCUGUUUAGAUUUGAAGCAGAGACACUGAUAGGACCAUCUGGACCUUCACUCAUGACAUCCAGCCACAGUCUGUGUUCACGGCCAGCACACUCAGAAAAUGGAUCAGCCAAGACCUCAUUUGUAACUUUUUGACUAGCACAAGGUGAAAGACCCACUCAAAAAAAGAAGAAAAAGAAAAGAAUCAAACCUCACCCACCAUGUAGUAAAAAGAUACUCGCCUGCUGUAAAUAUUAUUUCGGAGACUUUUUUCCACUUGUCAAAACAAAGAUCUACAAUUGCUGUCAGGCUUAAUCUUCAGUUGAUUGUCCUAAACACAUUAACACAUUCUUGCCUCCUACUCUCAUCUGGGAAAACGCCUCUCAGUAAAAGUGUUUUUUUUUUUUUUUUUUGGUCAGUUGCGUUCCUACGAA